GUGACAGCAGCCGCGGUAAUACAGAGGGGGCAAGCGUUAUUCGGAAUUACUGGGCGUAAAGGGCGCGUAGGCGGCCUUGUAAGUCUCGUGUGAAAGCCCUCGGCUUAACUGAGGAUCUGCACGGGAUACUGCGAGGCUUGAGUUCGGGAGAGGAAAGCGGAAUUCCGGGUGUAGCGGUGAAAUGCGUAGAUAUCCGGAGGAACACUAGUGGCGAAGGCGGCUUUCUGGACCGACACUGACGCUGAGGCGCGAAAGCUAGGGGAGCAAACGGGAUUAGAUACCCCCGUAGUCC
rnacentral:rRNA from 1 species